UCACAAUCCAAGUGUAAAUAAAUAAAAUAAGAAUUUCUCUUCAACUAAGGAGUCAUGUCAUCUAAGGGAAAGAGGAAAUCUGAAGAUUUUCUGCAACCGGAAAAAGUUCGAUGCAUUGAAAAUGAACCAAAAUUAGCAACAAUCAACGAAAUGAGUACCGAACUGCUAGAGAUGAUUUUUCAACGUCUUCCACGUCAUGAGCGAAUUAUUUGCAAGGAAGUUUGUUCACGGUGGUUUUCAAUUUUAAUGGAAUCUCCACUUUUUCACAAAGAUCGUCACAUUCACUUCAAAAAUUGUGUUAUCAACGCUUACGUGGAACCAAUGUCAACAAUUUUAGAUGCAAAAUAUCCGUAUGAGACAUUUACUUUUAGUGAAAUCGAAAAUGACACCGAACUAGAUAUUGAGAAAGCUGCGGAAAUGUUGAGAGUAACAAAAGCAAUUAAUUUUUGUUUCACAAAACAUAAUGCCAUGCUAUUACAAAUGUUGCUAGAAGUGCCCUUGCUUGAGUCAAUUGGCUUUUACGAGCAAAACAACGAAGCUUAUGAUGAUAGUAGGACUAGAUUAAAUUUGAAAACAUUUGCAAAAGAGAACCCAAACAUUUACUUCAAAAAAGUCAAAACAGUGACUGUGUCACUUGUCUCCAAAAACACGGAAGAUUAUGUGCAUGAUUUCCUAGAUCCAUUGAGCAAGAUGGUUCCAAAAGAUGCGAUCAUUAAUGUUUACGUAAAUUUUUGGUUUGAUGUCUUCCUUAAUUUUGAUAAGGAAAUUGAAUGCUGGACUAAAUUGAUAUCGGCGCACGGGAAGCGAACCAAACUUUUAAUGAACAAAGUUAGUCUUCAUUUCUUGCGAAUCUCAAACGAAACUAUAGAAAACUUUUUCGCAAUAGAUGUCACUUUCAAAAAAUUUGAGUUAGUCUACAACACCUAUGACAAGUAUGAUAUGGAUAAAUUUCUGGACAGAAUCAAAGCAGACAAAAUUAUUUUAAGUUUAGAAGUUGUUCCGCAAAUCCCAAACAACUUUCAUCGAAUCUCGAAAGUUGUUCUUGAUCAGCCGGUUGGAGAAAAUCUUAGUUUAAAGUGGCUGGAAAAAAUGGAAAAUUUAAAAAAAUUGGUAAUCACAAGCUACUUUGAAGGGACAUCAUGUGCAUUUGGCCAUGAAGCAAUUAAACUAGACAAACUCGAAAAAAUAGAAUUUAAACAUGAUAUUUUAGUGACUUGUCAAAAAUGUUUGAGUGCAUUUAGGCAAAGUUUUGAAAAUCUCAGAAAAAUUGAUAUUUUUGGCCAUUCAUCAUUUCUUUUGGACAUUCAGUGUUGGAAGAAACUUGAAAAGUUAACGCUCAAGCUUGAGGAAUUCGAUGUGAUUGAUGAAAAUGGUAUACAAGAAUUUCCAUUACACUCUUUGCGUGUCCUGAUCAUUAAACAUGCUAACAAUUAUUUAUAUUCAUAUAGUAAAAUAAGUUCUUAUAUGAAACAAAUGUUUCCUAAAUUAGAAAAAUUCGUUUAUAAUUACCAAGAUUUUUAAUACCUAGCAUUAAAAUAUUAUUUUUGUAUUCCAAUCUACAACACUUUUACCAGUUCAUGGGCAACUGAGAGAACACUGCGAAUAGUUUCUUACAUCAAAAAAAUGUUUCCUAAUUUAGAAGUUUUUGUUUAUAAUAGAAAAAAAUAUUGAUAUGAAAAUUAGACUUAAAAAAAAAAUUAGACACAAAUUCAUUUCUUAUUUCAUUUUUAUAAAGCUUUUUAUUGUUCAUUCAAAAUUCAAAUGAAACGAAAAAAUGUGAAUAAAUUAAGAAAAGGCUUAUUUAAAAAAAUGUCAAAUUAAAGCAAGAAAAAACGGCAACUUGGAUUCUGGCAACCAAGCUUACAGCGUUUAGAACGCAAAGAAAAAUUCAGAUACGACAAAAAGCCUUUUCAUUCAAAUACUUUCGCUCAUAUAUACAAUAAUAUUUUAACGAACCUUUUAUUUGAAAAGUUAACGAAUGGAUUUUUGGAUUGCGCACUGUUAUUUCUCAAUGGAACAGCUGAUUUACGUGUUUUGUGAGUAAAUAAAUUUUCCUCGUUCAUUGGAACAAUAUUUUGUAGGAAUUUUUGUCAUGUCCAGUGAAGGCAAGAGAAAAUUUGAAGACUUGCUUCAAUCGAACAAAAGUAUUUGCACUGAAAACACACCGAAAAUGACAACUUUUGACGAAAUGAGUAACGAACUGCUGGAGAUGAUUUUCCAACGUCUUCCCCAUCACGAGCGAAUUCUUUGCAAAGAAGUUUGCUCACGUUGGUUCUCAAUUUUAAUGGAAUCUCCACUUUUCGCCGAAGAUCGUCACAUUUACUUCAAAAAUUGCGUCAUUAAUGCCAAUGAGGAACCAAUGUCGACAAUUUUAGACGCAAAAUACCCGUAUGAGACAUUUACUUUUUGUGAAAUCGAAAAUGACACCGAAAUAGAUGUUCAGAAAACUCUCGAUUUAUUCAAAACGGUUAAAGAAUUGAACUUUGUUAAUGUCGGCAAAAACGAAAUGCUUUUAAAGAUGUCACUUUGUGCCCCACUCGUUGAAACAAUGAGUUUUAAUGAAGAAAAUUACGAAGAUGAUGAAGAUACGAGAUUGAGUUUAAAAACUAUUGCACAAGAACAGGGCGAAAACAUUUUUGAAAAUCUUAAAACUGUGAAUUUAACUCUAGAUACGGAAAAUCCAGAUGAUUAUUUGGAGGAAUUUUUGAUCCCAUUCAAAAAAUUACUCCAGGAAAACCAACAACCAGUCUUCAACAUUCACAUAAAUAACAAAAGUCCUCUUUACUUUGAUUCCGACAGCGAUCUAAGAUGCUGGAUGAGCUUAUGGUCGAUGAAAAAUGCAAAAUUUACAGUCAACAGCAUUUGCAUUUGUUUCAUUUUAAUGUCAAAGGAAAUUAUUGAGCCAUUUGCUGCCUUGGAUGUCCAUUAUAAAAAGUUCGACUUGGCCUAUGAACCGGAUCAUGACUAUGAUGUGGACCAACUUUUGACAAAAAUUAAAGCAGACGAAAUACUUUUAAGACUGGCAGAAUUGCCACCGAUUCCAAAUAACUUUCAUCGCAUCACAAAAGUUGAUAUCGAUAGACCGCUGUCGGCAUACGUCAGUCUAAAGUGGUUAGAAAAAAUGAUAAAUCUAAAAGAACUUGAAAUCUCAUCCCAUAAUGGAACCAAUUCUUGUACUUUUGGUCAUGAAGCAGUAAAACUCCAAAAACUGGAAGAAGUCAAUAUGAACCUAAAAAUGACAUGUCAAGAAUGUCUCAACGCCUUUAAACAAAGUUUUGAAAAUGUUAAACAAAUUUAUUAUUUUGGUCAAUCAUCAUUUCUUUUGGAAGUUGGUAAUUGGAAGCAACUGGAAUAUUUAAGACUUGAAGUCCUCGAGUUCGAUAUAAUACAACAACAACAAGAAAAAACGAAAGUUCUUUCGAAUUCGCUACGAAAACUGAAUCUCAGAAUCAGGUCAAAAAGUAAAAAUUGGACUAACGAACAAUUAAAUUCAUUUAUUGAUCAAUCGUUUCCGAAUUUAAAUGAGUUAGUUACUUAAAGAUUAUUAAUACAAAGAACUUUAUUACUUAGGGUAAAAAAAAGCAUAAUUUUUUUGAGAUCUGUAUUUAAAAUCUGUAACAUAGAAAUUUAUUACUUUUAAAUUUUUUUU